GUCCAUGCUGUAAACGAUGAAUGCUGGUUGUCGGCUGAUUGGUCGGUGACGAAGUUAACGCGAUAAGCAUUCCGCCUGGGAGUACGGUCGCAAGAUUAAACUCAAAGGAAUUGACGGGGACCCGCACAAGCGGUGGAGCAUGUGGUUUAAUUCGAUGCAACGCGAAGAACCUUACCAACUCUUGACAUCCUUAUCGGGGAAGGAGAAAUUCCAUCUUUCAGUUAGGCUGGAUAAGUGACAGAUGCUGCAUGGCUGUCGU
rnacentral:rRNA from 1 species